UCGUACAGUUAUGUAACAGCUGGGAGGCAGUCUCUUCUGGCCUUGGAGCGUACAGCCCUAGAAAACAGAAAAGCUAUCUGUUUUCUGUUACAUUUGGUUUCUCCCACUAUCUGGAAGUUCUCAUGCCCCAGAGCUGCCCACUCUCAAAUUCUGGUUCCAGGGCACCUGCAGAAACUGGGGCAUCCAGUAAGUCCAGGUGCCCAGAGGGAGGGAAAUCUGCAAGGCCAAAGACUGAGGGAAGACCGAGGACCUGGCAGACAUGAAGGCAAAUCAUCUGGCAAUUUCUAUAGCAAAAAGUCCUUGUGAGGAGAAAAAAAACCCAAUUGGAGUUCCCAGAUCAGCUUCUUAAGCUAAAUAAACGGAGGACACCCCAAAACACACUAGGCUUUGGAAAACCUCAUUAGCCAUCAAUCAAAUACAUCCCGAAGCAGAAUCUAAUUUAUGACCGCCUGUUUUUUCUCUUCUGUAAUUUAGAAGAAACAAGAAAAUACUUCAGAAUUGACAGCAAUCCUAGACCACAUCCCCAUCUGGAAUCUUGCAGGAAAAAAACCCUACUGGUGUUACAACUGGCACAGGGAGCAAGGACCCCAUAGGCUUUCCUCUCUGCUAAACAGAGUCCUACUUUGCAAAUGGCCAGCUCUCCAACCACUCCCAGACCCUGAAUGCAAAGCUGUUUCCACUCUUUCAGUAAACCUUCCACGCCAUUGGCCUAAAAAUGGGAGGCAUACCAAGGUGUGUUUAGUUGUUCUACCAGAUGAUAGCCCCCUACCCCCCGAAAAAAAAUAAAGCCUUCCCAUGAGGCUCUCCAGAAUGACUUUUUCAACCCUCCAAAUGCAGCCACAAAAGCAGACAAGAAGGUAUUUUUGGAGGCUAAUCACCAGCUCCUACGAGCCAAGGCUGUUUCCCUCUCCCCAUGCCUAAACAAAAGUGGAAAAACUAUCGAUGUCCAGGUCUGCUCUCCUGUUUACGAAUAAUCAAGAUGGCCUAACGCAGAAGUGCCCUCUUGGAACAAAGGAGGAAAUCGCAUUAGAGAGAAGCUAAAGCCAGAGACACAGGGAUUAAACCACAGAAAGCAGACAGACCCUGGGGACCCAGCCAGGCUCAGCACUGAACGUUCUGAGAAAAACUUGCUCAAGUGAAAACAGGAGGAGGUCCUCCACAGAGAGGAGCCUCACGUUACAGGGGCGGGGUGGCACGCUGGCACCAGAGUCCUGGGCAUCCUCAGGUGCACCCCGAACCUGACCCCGAGAGUCGGGCGACACGUGGCAGAGGCUGAAGAAGACAGCUUAAGGAAAAGCCGUGAAGCAGGACAGAGCAGGUCCUUGGAGGAACCUGAAGACAAUCUGGGUGAAAGGAAUUCAGAGGCAGAAGCAGGAGGGAUCAGAAGAAGCCAGAGCAUGCAGGAUCUUGUUGACCAAGGGAGAGGUUUCAGCUUGGCCCUAAGAACAAUGAGACUACUGGUACUGGCCUCCCAGCCAGACCGGAAGCUCCCAGCUACUGCCGUGUGUCACCUAUACUGCUACAGCAGCAUGCUCCCUGGUCUUCCCAUUCCUGUCCCUCCCCGCUGCAACCAGUCAGAGCUCUCUCUACACGCAGCCAGAGGAGUCCUAUUAAAGCACCCUUGCAUAAAGGCUCCCAUGGCCUCCCAUUGUGCUUAGUACGAAGUCCUACUGGAAAGGAUCCAGCAAUUCCAUUUUGGGGUGCACACCCGCAAGAAGUGAAAGCAGGGACUCAAACAGGUAUUUGCACACCCAUCUUCAUAACAGCACUAUUCACGAUGGCCAAGAGUUUGGAAGUGACCCAAGUGUCCACGGACAGAUUAAUAGAUAAACAAAACGUGGUAUCUCCAUACAAUGGAAUAUUAUUCGGCCUUAAAAGAGAAAGAAAUUUUGACACAUGCUACCAUGAGGGUGAACCUUGAAGAUAUUAUGCUAAGUGAAAUAAGACAGUCACAAAAGGACAAAGAUUGUAUGAAUCCACUUAUAUGAGGUCCGUAGAGUAGACAGAUUCAUAGAGACGGAAGUAGAAUGGUGGUUGCCAGGGGCUGCGGGGAGGAGCGAGAUGGGGAGUUGGUGUUGAAUGGGUGCAGAGUUUCAGUCUGGGAAGAUGAAAAUGUUCUGGAUGGAAAGUUCUAAGGGAUUCUCAGGGAAGAGAAAAGCAACACAAUAAGCCAUCAGAUGGUUCUGAGGACCAAAUAAAAUGGAGUCAUUACAGUCAAACUGCUAAAUUCCUAAAAUCAAGUAGGUCGAGACAUGAAGAAAUAAGUCUGUUCUUGUUUGAACUAGCCAACUUACAACGGUUGAACUUUCCAGUCGUCCUGCAUCAAUACCUGGAUAUACAUCAGACCUCCAGGUAACUCUCUGGUUACCCGCUGAAGGACUAAGGAAAGAAUGUUCGUUAUCCAGACCACAUGACGUUCAGGAUCCAGACCACCGGUCAUCUAGGGGUUGAGCAUCUCACACCAAUCCGGGGGCUAAGAACACAGGACACAUUCUUCUCGAGAAUGUACUGUUUACCGUAAGAACUCUUAGCUUUUCUCUCUUCUUCAAAACACUCUGGGUAUUGCCUCUACGUGUUCCUAGUUUGCAGACCCUAAUACCCUUGAUUAAUCCUUUAUCGUUUCUUUCUAGUCAAAGCCUUCAGGCUCUUUUUGAGUUCAUGUGACGGUUUCCAAUUCUUUCUUUCAACUACACCAAUAAUAGUAACAGUGAGUGUUUACCGAGUACGCAUGCUGUGCCAGGCACUAUGUGUGUGGCCUCACUUCGUGCCCACCAGAACCCUAAGAGUUAGAGGCUACGAUUAGACUCACAGAGGUUAAGGGCUCAUUCAAGGUCACACCGCUGGUGGGUGGCAACAUGGAUAUUGAACCCAGGAGCCACUACCCUUUUCUGCCACGUCAAUAAGAACGUCAAAGAAGGUCUUUGACAGAGGAGAAACUGAGACAUCAGGACUGUACUAAUAGGACCAGGUUCCUUAAAGACCAGAAAGGCUGACACCACAAGGGCCGGUGGCCUUCGUACAGUGCUACAAGGGAUGGGGUUUUUGUUUUUAUUUUUGUUUACGUUUUCAUUGUAAAUGCUUUUAAACAUAAAGUACUUACAUCUCUUCAUCUUUAUCUACACAUGUAAAAUGUAUUAAUUUACUUUUUUGUAACCAUUUCAAAGUAAUUAGACUUUGUGACAAUUUACCCCUAACUAUUUCAGUAAGUACCUCUAAAAGGUAACGACAUUCACUUACGUAAUCACAAUACCAGCGUCACACCUAACAAAAUUCCUUAAUAUUGUCUAAUACUCAAUUCAUAUUCAAAUUUCCCCAAUAUCACCAAAGUGUUAUUUUUUAAAAAAGCUUAUGUUUUCAUGGAACCUGACUGUUUUAGCCCAAUCAGAAAAGGCCGCCAGGAACAAACCUGUAAUCAUCCGACAAAGCCAGGUUUAGUCUCUCAUUAUAAAGAGGGAGAGCAAUUAUGGCAUGCCUUACCAAACAAAGGAAAAAGUCAGGCUAUUAUAGGAUGUGAGGAAGGGUCAAGUGUAGGUGAAAUUUAAAAGCUGGGUUUUGAUAGGCUCGAAGCAAAACAGGGCUGUGAGUGGAGGGGUUCACAUCCGCUAGGACUGAAACUACAGAGUGAAAUAAACGUGGACCGUUCGGUUCAGAAAGCCCUUAUCCGAUGCUCUGUCUUUGGGUCGGCCAUCGAAGCAGCUUCUCAGUCCCCAAGUGGCUUAGGUCUCGCAGGCACGAGAAAACUUUCAUUCACACCGACAUCAUUUCAAACUGCAAAGUCUCUAUCCAUCCAUGAUUUUUGAGAACAGUGCCCAAGCAAAUAUGAAAGCAAUGGCCGCUCUGGAAAAGGGAGUCCCUAUGGCACUUGACAGCGGCAGGGUGUCUUCGAAAAAGUGUUUCCUGGUACCUUUGCCGAUAGCUUGAUCGGUGUCCGUUAUUCUAGCCUGAAGAAUGGCCGGGCUGAGUCCCACUCUCUCGGUCUGAUCCAACUUUUAUUUUCUCAUAAUUCGGGAUCAUGCACUACAUUUAGUUGUUUUGUCUUUUAAGGGUCUUUUAAUCUAGAACAGUCGGCCAUCUUUUUUUUUUUUUUUUAAUGACAUUGUCUUGUUGAAGAGACCAAGCCAAUUAUACAGUUGAAUGUCCCACGUUCUGGAUCCUUCCUUUUGUUUCCUCACUGGCAUGGUUUAAUUGUUUCUUCCGUCCGCUGUAUUUUCUGUAAACUUUAGCUCUAAAGGCUUGCUUUGAUAGAAGUUAGUAAACAUUCUUCCCAGAAUAAGUGCUCUUGGCCAGAACAGUUUUAAGAGGCUCUGUUUCCACGUAGACUUUCCAUCUAACCCGCUCUUAGGUAUUUCACCAAGAGAAAAAAUGAAAAUGGACAUCCACACAAAGCCUUGCACUUGGAUGAGCACAGCAGCAUAAUGCGUAAUAGCCCCAACCUGGAAGCGACCCAAAUCUCCAUCAACAGGUGAACGAGAAACAAACUGUAGUACAUCCAUACAGUGACUACAGCCCAGCAAGAAAAAGGAACUAUGCCUUACAUUCAUCUCAGAAUCAUUAUGCUGAGUGAAAAGAACCACAUGCAAAGGACCACAUGCUGUAUAUAGAGACAGAAAGCAGACCAGUGGCUGCCUGGAACUGGGGGUACAGGGGGAUUGAUAGCAAAGGGGCAUGAGAGAAUUUUCUGGAAAGAAAGCUUUCUUUCUGUAUAUUGAAUGUGGCAGACACUACACAGGCACAUACAUUUGUCAGAAUUCACCAGAGUGGCUACUUUAUGCAUUUUAUUGUAUGGAAUCAUAUCUCAAAAAAAGAGAAAGGGAGAGAAUCUGUUUAGAUCUCAGCUCCGGUGUGUUCUCUCUCCUAAAACGGACAUGCCUGAAAAAGUGCCUGAGGUCCAAGGUGUCCCCUCCUUCACAAAUGUCCUUCCUCCACUUCACAAAAGUAAGGCAAUACUUUCCUCUUCAUCUCAAAACUUACUAAGGUGUUCGGCGUUGCGGUUAUAAAACCCUGGAUGCCCAGCAAAGGCGUGGUGUGACGUAACAGCAUGUGGUUUGGAAAGGGGCCGGCCUUUGGAUAACAAAUCUUUUUCCAGUUCAGGUGGUUUCCAACUUGCUUUCGAACAACUUGAAGAAGGCCCUACAUGACUCGUCAGGUGACUGAUCCCUACAAAUGAUUCCCGAUAAUGGAUCAGAAUGUGAUGUGUGGCAAAUUGCAUGGGAGUUCAAACACGUAUGACCUUGAGUUACUUAGCUGUAACAAAAUUUCCAUUCCAGUCUGCUGUUUAUAUGAAAAACAUUUCUCAGUGUUUACUUCUAUAAAAACAAGAAACAGGAAUAACAUAUUUUCUAACCUUUGUCCCAUUCCAGCAAUAAGAAACAUUCAUACACUGAUAAAUAUAUAAAACAAAUAUACAAAACAUUAA